GACGAACGCUGGCGGCGUGCUUAACACAUGCAAGUCGAACGGAAAGGCCCUGCUUUUGUGGGGUGCUCGAGUGGCGAACGGGUGAGUAACACGUGAGUAACCUGCCCUCGACUUUGGGAUAACUUCAGGAAACUGGGGCUAAUACCGGAUAGGAGCUCCUGCUGCAUGGUGGGGGUUGGAAAGUUUCGGCGGUUGGGGAUGGACUCGCGGCUUAUCAGCUUGUUGGUGGGGUAGUGGCUUACCAAGGCUUUGACGGGUAGCCGGCCUGAGAGGGUGACCGGCCACAUUGGGACUGAGAUACGGCCCAGACUCCUACGGGAGGCAGCAGUGGGGAAUAUUGCACAAUGGGCGGAAGCCUGAUGCAGCAACGCCGCGUGCGGGAUGACGGCCUUCGGGUUGCAAACCGCUUUCGCCUGUGACGAAGCGUGAGUGACGGUAAUGGGUAAAGAAGCACCGGCUAACUACGUG
rnacentral:rRNA from 1 species